AUGAGCAGGAGGAAGGAGCAGCUUAUAAGAAAAAAAAAGAACGCUCUUGGCACCAAAGACAAAAAGAUAUACCAAGAGCUUGGUUGGAUAGGAUCAUUGGACGGCGAGAGGGAUUCCCGCCUUGUCUUGUUAUCGUCUUCUUCCCUUGAUUGUUGUGUGCGUGCGUGUGACUAUGAUCCAUGGGAGCGCUAAAGAAUGCUAGCUUCGAGAUGUGCUCCCGAAAACAUCUUUGAGAUAAUCGUUCCUUUUUUCCUCCCGAAGAUGCUUCGUGAGCAUCGCUUCUCUCAGAAAGCUGAACACGUUUUAUAAUCCAUCGCGGUGGUAAAGCGUUCUACAGCAUCGAGUGCAGGUACUAGGACCAGGAGAUGGUCUUCGACGAAGCAGCAGGGGACGGUUUGCGCUAGGCGAUGAAGGCAGAGGAGGAGGAGGUGUGUUAGUGGGGAGGAGAAGGCGACGACGAUGGUCAUCCCCAAAUAAUAACCUUUGUUUGCGAGAUCACAUGUAGUUUUUGGUCAUGGAGGAGGAGGGGGGAAUGAUCCAGUCUUUUUUGCACAUCUGUAAGAGGUUGAAGAAGAUGGAUGAGAUGGGCUUGUUGCUCGUGCAACUUUCCCAGUUAGUUAGUUAGUUAGUUCCGAGUUACGAUGCUCCUCCCUUAUGCUUCGAUGCAUCGUCACUCACUCGUUCAGAGCAUUUCUGUUCUAGGGGCGGAUGAGCAAAGGCACACACGGAUAUGGUUGUCAAGUCUGAGCUUUAUAU